AUACGAAGGGGGCUAGCGUUGUUCGGAAUUACUGGGCGUAAAGCGCACGUAGGCGGAUCGUUAAGUGAGGGGUGAAAUCCCAGGGCUCAACCCUGGAACUGCCUCUCAUACUGGCGAUCUUGAGUCCGAGAGAGGUGAGUGGAACUCCGAGUGUAGAGGUGAAAUUCGUAGAUAUUCGGAAGAACACCAGUGGCGAAGGCGGCUCACUGGCUCGGUACUGACGCUGAGGUGCGAAAGCGUGGGGAGCAAACAGGAUUAGAAACCCCAGUAGUCC
rnacentral:rRNA from 1 species